UGUCAGCGACUUGUUGACCUCCUCCUUCACCACACCGUCCGAGAACGCCAGCGGGAUACGAGCAGGACGCACCCGCACCGCGCCCUGCCUUCGAGCAGACCUCCAACGGUGGUCCGGACUUCGACGGUUCUCACGCGACUCACGGGCAGCGUGCUGGGCUAGCAAGUCGCUGCGGAUCGCUGGGCGCGAACCGCGACUUCCUCGCCACGACCGUCGGCGCCGACAGCCGUGGCCAGGAUGUCGAGCCACGUCACCCGAGUUUCGCCGUCGUGAUUCGCCCGACAUUGGUUUCUGCCGGACGCUCGCUCGCCUUCUUCGACCCGCUCGAAGGCUCAAGCCGGUUACAGCUGCAAGAGAAGGAGAUCGAGGUUCGAGGUGCGUUCCUCCAUCCUCCCAGCAGUGUCUGUAGCGGGAGAACGAGGAGGGCCGUGUCUGCGAGGCGCUCGCUUUGGCAGACCGAGGACGAGGCGGGCGGCUCGCGCGAUGCAGGUCAAGAUGUGGGCGUCGAGGAGGAUCGCGCCGGUCCUCGAUAGACUCUGCAGAGUCUUCGGAGUACGCCAAGCUUUGUCUCGAGGCAGCAGGACGCGUGGGAGACGAGAUGCGAACAAAUCGAGGGGGCGGGCCUUCCUGGCUCGCGAGCCAACUGCAUCUUGGCCAUACAAGCUUGCUCGGAAUCGCUAUUCGCUUCGCGCUGCCGCGACGCAAGCUCGCACAGACUUGCUCCUGCCUUCCGUUCGAUGCCUUGCCCGUUCUUACUACGACGAAGUCUCGUCGCUCACCCUCGGCCUGCGAAAUCCUCUACGACCUCGACAACAACUCCCCAAGAACUCCCGCCUCCCAUCCUCCUUCCAACACAACGUCAUUCGCUCGCGGGUUGACACAAUGACGCAGGGAGAAUUUGUCGGGGAUUUGAUGGAGCGGUCGCGCAGCGGAUAGCUCAACCUCUUGGGGCACUUGAUUUGGGUUGCUUGGUUCUCGGGUGUCGGACGCUCGAGCAAGGCGUGGCGAAGGGAGCGCAAGAAGCUCGGUUGAUUGUCGUAUUGCCGUGCCAGAGACUUGCAACACAGACUAGGGGUCGCCUGGCGAGCGAGAGCGCAGCGUUCAACGCCCUCUG
rnacentral:misc_RNA from 1 species